rnacentral:rRNA from 1 species
UGGGGAAUAUUGCGCAAUGGGGGGAACCCUGACGCAGCCAUGCCGCGUGAAUGAAGAAGGCCUUAGGGUUGUAAAGUUCUUUCGGUAUUGAGGAAGGUUGAUGUGUUAAUAGCACAUCAAAUUGACGUUAAAUACAGAAGAAGCACCGGCUAACUCCGUGCCAGCAGCCGCGGUAAUACGGAGGGUGCGAGCGUUAAUCGGAAUAACUGGGCGUAAAGGGCACGCAGGCGGUUAUUUAAGUGAGGUGUGAAAGCCCCGGGCUUAACCUGGGAAUUGCAUUUCAGACUGGGUAACUAGAGUACUUUAGGGAGGGGUAGAAUUCCACGUGUAGCGGUGAGAUGCGUAGAGAUGUGGAGGAAUACCGAAGGCGAAGGCAGCCCCUUGGGAAUGUACUGACGCUCAUGUGCGAAAGCGUGGGGAGCAAACAGGAUUAGAUACCCUGGUAGUCCACGCUGUAAACGCUGUCGAUUUGGGGGUUGGGGUUUAACUCUGGCGCCCGUAGCUAACGUGAUAAAUCGACCGCCUGGGGAGUACGGCCGCAAGGUUA